UGUGUUUUCUGCCCCUUUGACAGUAUGCCAAGGCACUGAAGCAUUUUGGAGAGAAUGAGGGCAAGAUGCAGCCAGAUGAAUUUUUUGGCAUCUUUGACACUUUCUUACAGUCAUUUGCAGAGGCAAAGCAAGAUCUGGAGAAUAUGAGGAAGAAAAAGGAAGAAGAGGAGCGCAGGGCACGCAUGGAAGCCAUGCUGAAAGAGCAGAGGGAAAAAGAGAGGCGUCAAAAGAAAGCGAAAGCAGGAAGCAUCUCUGAAGAGACUGGGGAGUUUGAUGACCUGGUGUCAGCUUUGAGGUCAGGAGAAGUCUUUGACAAGGACUUAUCCAAACUCAAGCGUAAUCGCAAGCGUUCGGGGAACCAAGGCUUAGAGACAAGCCGGGAGCGGGUGGUGACAAAACUAAAUUAUUAAUUACAAGAGAAAGAAAAAUAAUCAACCAAAAUAAGUGAAGAAAAAGAGCAGAACAAGAAGAUGAAUGUGUGCAAUGGCACUUGGCUGACAGCUGCCCCAAAGGAUUUCUUUGGUCUGUGGGUAGAGACAUUACCUUUCCAUUGAUCAGCUUUCCUCUCAUCCCUCCUCUGCGCUCCUAAUUUGAACCAUUAUAAAAGUGCCUCUGUGGAGCCAGCAGGGUCUGUGACUGGGCCAUGCAGACCUGACAGAUUUGCUUCUGGGAGUUGAUUGUGUCAUGAAAGGCCUCAUGAUGAUGACAGAAAGUACUGGGCCUUGCAGACAGCCUUGCAGCUGGAGAAGGAUAAUUUUCUGCGUGCCAAAGUGAAAAUGAACUAUGAUCUUCAUCUUGCUGAUAAUAAGCAGGACUAAUUUCAGAACAGUUUGGUAAACACCUGUUGCUUCUUCAGUAACUAUACUGGCCUUCAGAGUCUUGUCAAGAUGUAGUUCUUGAGGUUACAAGGUCCCUCCCAGAAUUGGAUUUUAUAAGCCAUUGAUCAGCAUCCGAAAAAUGCUUUUGAUCUCAUAUUCUGUAUAGUGCUUUUGUAUGGCCUAUACUGUCCAAAGCAAGUGAUGCUCAGAAGGAAGUAGGAACAAAAUGGAAUUCGAAAAUCAGGAUUGACGUAAAAUACUUUGCCAAAGUCUUUUGGAUUCUGCUUUUCUAGAAACAGUUUUCUGGAAUAUAUUGAUGGUUAAGCCUCAAAGUUCUGAAAUUUAUCUUCUAGGAAAGAAGUUGUGGCUUUUGUUUAGAAAACUGUGCCACUAACAGGUUGGGAUUUCACCUGGAUGACUGUGGAGCCUGUUAUAAUUGCUGGGAAGGAAACAGCUGAACAUUUCUUAUCCAUUUUUGCAAGAUUCCUUACUGCAGCCCUGAAAUGGAAGGAUUUCCAAUGGAAAUUGGAAGCUCCUGAGUAUCAUUCACAGGUCACAAGUGGGCAAAAAGCAAAUGGGACUGCAAGCUGCAAGAAGUAAGAUUUCUUUUCCACUUUGUACAGGCUGCAACUGCUGUGGGAAUGGACUGGACUUUCUGCAUAACAGGAUGAUUUAUUGCAUGCACCCCAAUCCUAUCUAGGGUAAUCACAUAGUUCAGUAAGAUAUCAGUGAUGUCAAAGGAGAGCUGUACAGGCCACAGCCUUUUUCAUUUAGAAAAGAUUACUUAGCAUGAACCAAUGGAAGGUCCCAUAAGGAAAACGGAGAUUUUUUUCCAGGAGGACACAAAGUCGUGUAAGUAAAGUGGAAACGGGUUAAUUCAUAAGAAAAAAAGAAAUUUGCAUUUACACUGCACCUACAAAGCACACGGUGAAAAAGCAGAGAACCCCAAGAAGAUGCUUGAAUUCUAAAUUUGAUUUAUCUUCAUGGUUCUUGGAAGGGGAUUCAAUUCUGUGGGCUGCCAUGACCCUUUUUUUGUCAUUUUUUUUUCUUCUUCAAUCUUGCCAUCCCUUUUGAUUAUCAACUCUGGAGAGGGAAAAAGGAAAAGAAAGAAAUUGCGAUGGAUUCUUCCUCCUAGACAAGAAGGGAACAGCAUUUGAGAAGAGAAGCCUACAUUUACGAACUAUAUAUCAACAGUAAACAGCACAAAGUGUCAAGGAAUCCCAGGGAAAUGGAAAAAGCUCCAUUAGUCACUUUAAUAUUUUGGUUCUGUUUUUCUAUGAAUGUCACUUAACCUCAGGCUCAGCACUGAGUCUGCAGAAUAGAACUUCUGCCAUACACGCUGCCUGAUCAGUAUUACACACUACCAAUAUUGGAGAAACCAACAGUGGUGGUUUUCCAAACACUAAAAUAAUUAUGUAAACUAUGGAAAGGAGCAAAAAAUUUAGAAUUGCUAAACUCUAAUGUUUCAUUGUUUACUGAAUUUUGAGACUCCCACCCUACAGUUUCCCUAUUUACAACAUUCCAGACUGCCGCGCCUCUGUAUAAUACUCAUGGUAAAGAGCUGGUAUCUUACAAGAGCUGGGUGCAUUCUCCUCCCUUAUUAUCCCAUCGCCCUUCUGGGAUUAGCUAUUAACAGCAAUAUCCAUUGCAGCAGACACAAGCACCUUGUAGAAGAAAGACUGUAUUUCAUAAAGGUUUUUGAAAGUUUAACUCUCACUUUUAUAAGCAUUUUUAUUUUAAAUUACAAAAUGGAUUUUUAGAAAUGUCUCUUGUAAUUUAUAUUAACAAGCUCCUUGCUGCUCCCCAAAGUAGACAUGCCAUAUCUCAGCCCUUUUUUUUGUUUGUCUUGUUUUGAAGCAUGCCAUAUAAUCUAUGCCACAUAAGCCAUAUGAGACGUGGUAAUAUGUGCCAAAUUGGUAUACAGUGGAAUUUAGAUUUGGAUAAUCCCUGAAUUCCAAAGAUGAUAUUUUCAGGGAUUAGAACAUUGUAGAUUUCCCCCCUCUUUGUUCUCCUUGGUGUUAGGACUCACUCAGAUGUUCAAGUGUAGUGCCAGUGCCAAGAUCAGCUCUGGUGCAAGAAUGUGUGACCCUUGGCUCUGUCCAACUUAUGGCUGCUUGCUUGCUCUCCAGGUACUUGUUCAGUAUGGCAGACUGUCAGCAAGGCAGUUCUGUUAUAGAAGAAACACCUCAGGGCAAAACCCUUGAAUAUAAAUACAGCAUUCCCCACCCCAGUAUUUUUCAAACCAGGUUCAUGGUUUUGAAAAACUUUUUGAAACUGAAGUCACUUGGCCAGGCCAUAAAUGUAGCAAAAGCAGAGAGAGUGAUAAUCUCCCUGUCCAUUUGUGUACACAGUUCAGCUGUGAUAUGAAAAGUUAUAUGAUGGUACGCAGUGCUCCAGUCACAGUGACAGUCAGAGAAAGCUGCUGUAGCUUUGCCACCCUUCAAUAUAUACACAAGUAAUAAGAGACUGUGCAACUCCAAUAAAUCAGCUGUGAGAUACAUUACUGGAACUGAAAGAAAGCCCAGAGUCAUGCCCCCGGUUCAUUGCAGCUCAACUUUCUUAGCACUCAAGGGCCCCAGACUUUUGUUUUGAAUCAGUGGUGGUGGCUGAAGGUUUCUUUCAGCAUGCUGAACAGUCUCCCCUGGCUGUACACUGCUUGGUGAAUGUUCAUGAAAAGCAUUGUGGAAAAGCUUGGUUACUCACUGAGUCAAGCAGUGAUUUCCCAUUAAUACGUCUGCUCUAAAAGAUGAGGCUGGCCACAGUAGAUAAGGAAAUAGUUGGAUCUGCUCUAGGACCUGACUUCAGAUUUUUUGCAAAGCCAAGUUCAUCCCUGCUUGGAGUCUCUGGCAUGCUGUGAGUGCAGCUAUGCUCUGUUCCUCAUGUGCAGUUUUGAUUGAGUUGCUGAGUGCCAAGAAAGGUGGGAAAAUCUAAUCCUUGUCCUCUAGUGCCUCUGUAGCCUGGGUGGGCAUAGCAAGCAGUCAUGAGGCAUAACAUUAAGGCAAAACUUCUUUAUCAUAUUCUGAGGGACAGAGAAGAACUAAGGUCUGCUGCUGUCCUUGCAGUACCAGCAUUUUAAGUAAAAGCACCAGCAUUUUAAGUAAAAGAGGAGGAGAUGGGAAAAAGGUUAUAGUUGAGGGCUUGUUCUACUUUAUAUUUUUCCUAGAGAAAUGUAGUUGUUGCUAACUUUAUGAUGAAGUUCUUCACACCUAGAAGAGGAGGUACUUUCUAAUUCUCCAAACCUUGUCUGUAGAGAUCUAAUGCUUCUUCACUUACCUAUGUGUCUUUGCAUUGUUCUUAAGCAGAUUGCAUUAGGAUGACCCCUGAAAAGACUGCAGAACUUCCCCCCACACACCCCACUCUCUUUGCUCUUUGUCACUCUUCUCAGUUGUCCGUAAGUCUCUGAAAAUGCUACGAAGCGAAGUGACUUCAGGGCAGCAAGGCCCUUCCAUGCUUUGCAGCACAGCUAUGGUCCGGGCACUGGUUCCCUACAAGAGCAGAAGUAGGACUAAUAUUCAGGGAUGAGAGACUCUCCACUAGAGAGACAGCUUGGGCAUCCUUCAGAAGCAUUUCUGUAAUGUGUUCACAGUGUUUGAGGAAGGGAAAGGCAUUGUGAGGGGCCCUGAUGGAAGGCUGUGGAGCAGGUGUUUCUGUAAUGGUCAGCUCCAUUGGCUGAAUCUUCCCUCUUUUUUAGGAAAGCUCGCACUCUGAGCUGGGUUGUACCAGAGAAGCUUGUGUCAGGAGUUUCCUUGAGGGGAAAGGAAAUCAGUUGUACAGUUGAUGAUGUACAUGAUAUAUGCAGUUUUGUUUCUGGGUUGGUUGUUUUGUGUUUGUUGUUUGUUUUUUUUUCUUUUUUGUUUGGGGGUUAAAUGUUUUUGUUUUUUCUUAAAUGGUUUUAGGAAUCUCUAAGGGGAACCUGUAAAUCUGACACCUCUAUUUAUUUUGCCUUAUUUUAGUUUGCUAUGUUUGUAUGUAUACACUGCAUUACAGCAAAGACUCUUGAGACCGUGCCAGGGCAUUACACCAGCUAGACAGCCGGCAUGGCCAUUCUGCAGCAAGCUGAGCAGGGGGUGGGGUGGUGUAGGAGCAGCCUUGGUGUGGGAAGGGAGGCAAGGAAGAACUUCACUUUUGCUUUCAUAGGAAUAACUCUGCCCUAAUAAUAAUUGACUUGGGAAAGCAUGUCUUUUAAAGCAUGUGGUGAAUUGAUGAAAGUAGGUUAUUUCAGAAUACUCUCUGAAAACAACCAUUUUCUUGUCAUGAAUCAUGGUGGGAAUAUUGAGAAGAGGUAAGCUCCACAUUUGCUAACUCAAAUUUCAAUCUCCAACUCAAAUUCUGCAUGUAGUGCCAGAGAAGCUGAAAUAGGUGUACAAGUAUGGAUCAUACCCUUACCAGAGUUUACAUGUUGGUGAGACAAACUGUGACAGGCCAAGGAAGAAAAGAUUCUCUCUGAUUUCCCUCUCCACUCUACUUCCUCAGAGUCCCAGGGUAAGCAAUAUUUUUUGGCUGUUUGGUUUUCUCUCUGUGGAGUCUCUAGCAAUAACACAUGUUCAGCUACAGCUCUUUGGCUUCUGUACUGAACAAGGAAGAUUUCCGAUUGCCUGCCAUUCAAACACUUAGCUGCUGUUGGCCAUUCUUACUUUCUUUAUUAAAGGUGGAAAAGGCCAUCUUGAGUAAUAUAAUUUGGCCAACUGAAAAUAUAGGUGUAGGUAGUAAAGCUAUUUACUAUUCUGAGUAGUUUGGAUGACUAGAUUCUCCUAAAGCUGGCCAGAUUAUGCUGAGAAGGAUGUCAUUAGCUUAGAAAGCUGUUAUGGCACCUCAUUUUGAGUCUGGAUGCUUAACAGAUAUUCCAAACCAGUCUUCUGAUACUGGUGUUAAUGUGGAAUAGAUCCAGUAUAUCCAGUACAGUGUUUAAUACCAACAUUAUUUAAAGCAACAUCUGGAUCAGAACUCCCCUUUUAAACAGCUUUAGCUGCUGAGAAGAUGUUCUACAGAGCUUUCAAAGGGCUUGGUCCUUUCAGCUGUUCAACAGUUGGAGCUCUCACUCAGCUGAUCUAGAAAAGCCUCUAUGAUAUGCUACUGACAACCCAGCCCCUCUACACUGCUUCCCAUCUUCAGACUUGCCCCUAAAUACUCUCUUCCAAAACCUUUGCUGUUUUAGAAUUGUAGGAGGACAUCAGGUACCUGAGCCACGCUCAAUGCUUCUCCCUUCCAAACUGUAUUCAGCCAUUCUCCUCCUCUGCCAGCCUGCUCAGUUUAAAACUUCCAGAUCAUUUUUGGAGGUGCCCCUGCCUGCCGAGCUGGAAAGUAUAGUGCUGCUUACUGACGUGGGAGGUUGUGUGCUGCUGUAAUGCCUUGGCGUAUCCUCAUUUCUUAGUCAGUUUAAGACUAUAAGUGAAUUAAAUGUACAAAUCCUGUAGUGUCCUUUUUAUCUGUAUCUUUUUAUAAGAAUAUACUGUAAUACUAAAAAACAAAAGCAAAAAAAUUAAAGAUAUAUUGCCCCCA